AGUGAACGCUGGCGGUAGGCCUAACACAUGCAAGUCGAACGGCAGCACAGUAAGAGCUUGCUCUUACGGGUGGCGAGUGGCGGACGGGUGAGGAAUACAUCGGAAUCUACUUUUUCGUGGGGGAUAACGUAGGGAAACUUACGCUAAUACCGCAUACGACCUACGGGUGAAAGCAGGGGAUCUUCGGACCUUGCGCGAUUGAAUGAGCCGAUGUCGGAUUAGCUAGUUGGCGGGGUAAAGGCCCACCAAGGCGACGAUCCGUAGCUGGUCUGAGAGGAUGAUCAGCCACACUGGAACUGAGACACGGUCCAGACUCCUACGGGAGGCAGAAGUGGGGAAUAUUGGACAAUGGGCGCAAGCCUGAUCCAGCCAUACCGCGUGGGUGAAGAAGGCCUUCGGGUUGUAAAGCCCUUUUGUUGGGAAAGAAAAGCAGCAGGUUAAUACCCCGCUGUUCGGACGGUACCCAAAGAAUAAGCACCGGCUAACUUCGU
rnacentral:rRNA from 1 species